GUGCGGAUGAUGCAAACCCUAUGUAUCUGAUUUGUAUUGAUGCAUAAUAAAUCGAGCUUUUUAAAACUGACGCACA